AAAAAGCUCAGUAAGCCCUUUUUUUAAUUUAACUUCCAGUUCAUUUAUUUAUCCAACAUUAGAGUCAACAGAAACACAGUAAACGAGAGUAAAAUGUUUCUCUUCACCGUUAUUUUCUAGAACAGAGUGACAACAUGGUCUCUGUUUCAGUUCAGGGUUUUUUUUUCUCUAAUGUUCACAAUUAAAUAUACACGUAUAAACUCUUCAUUUAUUUACAGCACCACACGAGACCUAAGGUCCUUUAUUUUUAUUUAUUUUUUUUUUUUAAUGAGUUGAAAGGAAGAGGAAGAUUCUGGAAGUUGCUAAAUUUACAGGUCACUGCGUUUCAAGCUCAACAGGGAUCUGGAUCAAUUUUAAUUUAACGUCCAUAUAACAUUCUAUAGAGUUGCUCUGCAACCAAAUGAAAACUUCAUCACAAACGUAUUGCUGUACAAUAUUACACGUGCAAUCUCCAUUCGGGAAAGGAAGGAAGGUAUGGAGUGAUAUGGAGAUGCAUGGUUACUGAGGAAUGGUUUUGGUUUUCCCUGUUAAAGGGUACAUUAGGAGGGUUGGUCCUACAUUUCCUAAAACCUGGGCAGACAUUAUUUACCCAACUCUAAAAAUUCAUUAAAAUCUUAACAAGACCUACAGGACAUAAAUAUAAGCCUAGGUCCUAUUAACAUAAAGCUAUUAUAAACUCACUAUGAGGCUAUUAUUAAAGAAGUGAAUUGGAAGGAUGCAGUGAAUUGUGAAACCAUGGAAAAGGUGAAGAAAGACGAUGAUGACCAAGAUGAGAGCCGGGCAGGGGUACAGCAAACCGCUCAGGCCUGAAGAAGGUUCGCUUCAUUUCACACUUCGAUCUUUGGACCGUUCCGUGGUCUGCGCUGGUUAUGACGGAUCUGCUCCCCUUCAAUAAGCAUCAGUAUCAUAGCAUGUAGUAAACACACAUUAUAUUAUUAUGGUUGCUGCUUUCAUUCCGAAAUGCAUGCUGUAUAUCUCUUUCUCAGCAGAGAGGAGAGGAGAAAAGAGGGGAGGAGAGGAGCUCCCAGGUUUGAGCAGUGAAGAAUCUAUUUAUAAGUUUGGAUGUGGGGCAGCGAGUUUGGAAAUGGGGACAGAAGAAGAUCCCAAGGGGAGGCAACAGCAGAAUUCCCGUUCUGCUCCAGUGCAGUGCUUCAAAAGAAAACAACACCUCCAUUUCGCCUUCUGUCCAUCUUUACCCAGGCAAGACGUGAAACUCCACGUCAUGCGCUUUUUUUUCUGCUCAAGUUCUGAAUAAACGUGUCGUCUGAUGAAGAAA